rnacentral:tRNA from 11 species
GAUGUCGCGUAGCUGGUUCAUCGUAUCCGUUUUGGGAAUGGAAUUUCGUAGGUUCAAAUCCUAUCAUCC